CUUGCUCGGUCUUGGGAGCCCUCCCGACUCUGUCUCUUUGUCUUAUUUUCUCAGUCCUCCUUUCCCCCAUUCAGGAACCUUUCGACUGGUGACAGCUGGUCCUUCACAGGUGGCGCCCAAACAGGGACCUGAAUACGGGGGAUACCAGAGUGAAGGACACCGCGGGUAUACGAGGGCGCUCGAUGCUCAAGGGUUGACUGCAGCGGAAAGAUUAUGGCAUCCAGAGACCAAAGCAUCAUACGCAUUGGACGCUGAAGGUGCCCGGUGGCUGCCUGAAAGAUUGGUCCAUUUCACGGGAAGUUCUUCUGCCCGUAGAGAUGAUUCUGACAACUGUCCUGCUGGUGAAUCUAAUGAUGGUGUGUAAUGGAGAACUUUAUUGGACUUACGUACCUGAUCCACCUGUUGUACAUCCAAUGAGCUGGGAGAAUGGAGA